ensembl:lncRNA
GUACGUGAUACUCAGGGUCGGUUGUGAACUUUGAAAAUGUUUGGUAUCUGUAAGUCUUGAGCAGAUGGACGGCAGGGAUUAAAUUGGCAGUUCCAAAUGUGAAUUUUGAGCCAAAUUCUAAUUGUAAAAUUUGAUAUUUUGCUGUCUUUUUUGAAACUUCCUUUCUCCUGGUAAUAUUUUCAUUUUACUCAAAGCAAAGUAGUGCUGUGGUGAGGCCUUCCCAGCAGCAUCAAACGUGGGCUAUGAAACCACGGAGGCCAGGGCUGCUGUUAACAGUCUGGGCGGGAGGUCUGGCUCUAAAUAGCCAACAAAGUCUGUUACUCUCACUUAACGGUUUCAUACAUCAGCAUAAACCAAGAGCCAAGAUGAUUUGGGUUUCUAUUUUCAGUGUAUAAUUUGGUUCCUUGAGAUGAUAUUGAACUAUUUCUGUAAAAAACAUCUAGACAUCAAAUCAAUACAACUUUUCUGUGGUGUUUGUUGUUGUUGCUGAAAAGAAAAAGUCGUACGUUGAAAUUUUCAAAAAUGUAAUUCUCUGCCAACAGCCAAGUAACAAUAUUGAGCAAUUUUCCCCGACCUCACGUGUUUCUCAGUGUGAUGUUUCAGGAUGUGGCACCACGUGACGCGGAAUGCUUCCCCUGGGUUUACACCAGGUGCUAGUUUCUAGGGAGCCCGUUGGGAUGGUGUUGCACUGGCCAACUUGCAGCAGAGACCAGAAGACAACCAAGGAGAGAAAUUGGAAGUAUACAAGCUAAUUCCGAGAUCAGAGAUAGAGGGAGGGUGGCAAGUUUGAAGACAGCGGAGUAUUUGUCUAGUUUUCCAAGGCAGGAAGGUGGAAAUAGGGCGGUCAGUGAAGAGGAUUGCCAACCACAUAGUAAAAAGUAACCUUUAAGACGUUUACCUCCUUCUCCCACUGACAUCAAGAACCUGGGUGUUUGUUUGGGAGACGGAAAAGUUAUGGUCCCGAGAACAGCAUGGAACAAAGCAGAACACGGAGCAGCCUUGAGGUCCCAGCAGGACGUGUGACCAGCUGCCUCUGGAGCAGGAUGCGGCCACUCGGGGCGUCACCUCAGCAGUGAGGGCAGGAAAGCAAGACAUGUGAUCCCACACAAAGCCCCAUGUUGAAACCACGCUUUCGUCUUCACUGAGGAUCUGGAGCAGCUCUCAGCUGUUCACGCUGAUGACACAGAGCGAGCAAAACGGAGCCCAGGGUCUUAUGGAAAGCAGAAGCACUCAGAAGCAUUCACACGGGGUUAGUCCUGCUCUUCAGACCAGGGAUUAAAGGCAGCAAAAUACAUUGCCUCUUCUCAUGAGUAUAAAUAAAGAAGACAUCACAAACCUAUAAAAAGAGGUAGACAGUCAUGAAAGUAAAAAUACGCAAGAAUUAUUAGCAAUGUCUACAAGCCUCAAGCUGCAUGUCCUUGGGCCUCGUCUCCGUGCAUUCACAAGAACCACGUCUCGUUUUGAUGGCCUUGAAAAAUAACACUGUUCUUUCAGUAGAUUUUCUUGUAGAAAUAGCCCAGGAGAUUAGAUAACAUACUGCUUUACAAAACGUCCUGAAUAUGGUCUCCUGAUAUUUCAGUCUCUCCAGGGUUCCACUUCUUGCCUCUGUCCACAGAGACCCCGCGAUGCAUGUUGCUGUCCAUCCACUCCCCCUUCUCUGCCCGCAGACCCCUGCUCUGCUCCUCGUACCCGCAGCGCGUGACCCUCCGCAGAGUGCAGCCCCCUCAAAAGUG